rnacentral:rRNA from 1 species
AUUGAACGCUGGCGGCAGGCUUAACACAUGCAAGUCGAGCGGAGAUGAGGUGCUUGCACCUUAUCUUAGCGGCGGACGGGUGAGUAAUGCUUAGGAAUCUGCCUAUUAGUGGGGGACAACAUUCCGAAAGAAAUGCUAAUACCGCCUACGUCCUACGGGAGAAAGCAGGGGAUCUUCGUACCUUGCGCUAAUAGAUGAGCCUAAGUCGGAUUAGCUAGUUGGUGGGGUAAAGGCCUACCAAGGCGACGAUCUGUAGCGGGUCUGAGAGGAUGAUCCGCCACACUGGGGCUGAGACACGGCCCAGACUCCUACGGGAGGCAGCAGUGGGGAAUAUUGGACAAUGGGGGAAACCCUGAUCCAGCCAUGCCGCGUGUGUGAAGAAGGCCUUAUGGUUGUAAAGCACUUUAAGCGAGGAGGAGGCUACUGAGACUAAUACUCUUGGAUAGUGGACGUUACUCGCAGAAUAAGCACCGGCUAACUCUGUGCCAGCCGCCGCGGUAA